rnacentral:rRNA from 1 species
ACGAACGCUGGCGGCGCGCCUAACACAUGCAAGUCGAACGGAGCUUAAAGAGCUUGCUUUUUAAGCUUAGUGGCGAACGGGUGAGUAACGCGUGAGUAACCUGCCCUAGAGUGGGGGACAACAGUUGGAAACGACUGCUAAUACCGCAUAAGCCCACGGUGCCGCAUGACACUGAGGGAAAAGGAUUUAUUCGCUUUAGGAUGGACUCGCGUCCAAUUAGCUAGUUGGUGAGGUAACGGCCCACCAAGGCGACGAUUGGUAGCCGGACUGAGAGGUUGAACGGCCACAUUGGGACUGAGACACGGCCCAGACUCCUACGGGAGGCAGCAGUGGGGGAUAUUGCACAAUGGGGGAAACCCUGAUGCAGCGACGCCGCGUGGAGGAAGAAGGUUUUCGGAUUGUAAACUCCUGUCGUUAGGGACGAUAAUGACGGUACCUAACAAGAAAGCACCGGCUAACUACGUGCCAGCAGCCGCGGUAAAACGUAGGGUGCAAGCGUUGUCCGGAAUUACUGGGUGUAAAGGGAGCGCAGGCGGGAAGACAAGUUGGAAGUGAAAACCAUGGGCUCAACCCAUGAAUUGCUUUCAAAACUGUUUUUCUUGAGUAGUGCAGAGGUAGAUGGAAUUCCCGGUGUAGCGGUGGAAUGCGUAGAUAUCGGGAGGAACACCAGUGGCGAAGGCGGUCUACUGGGCACCAACUGACGCUGAGGCUCGAAAGCAUGGGUAGCAAACAGGAUUAGAUACCCUGGUAGUCCAUGCCGUAAACGAUGAUUACUAGGUGUUGGGGGAUUGACCCCCUCAGUGCCGCAGUUAACACAAUAAGUAAUCCACCUGGGGAGUACGACCGCAAGGUUGAAACUCAAAGGAAUUGACGGGGGCCCGCACAAGCAGUGGAGUAUGUGGUUUAAUUCGAAGCAACGCGAAGAACCUUACCAGGUCUUGACAUCCGAUGCAUAGCACAGAGAUGUGUGAAAUCCUUCGGGACAUCGAGACAGGUGGUGCAUGGUUGUCGUCAGCUCGUGUCGUGAGAUGUUGGGUUAAGUCCCGCAACGAGCGCAACCCUUAUUGCCAGUUACUACGUUAAGAGGACUCUGGCGAGACUGCCGUUGACAAAACGGAGGAAGGUGGGGAUGACGUCAAAUCAUCAUGCCCCUUAUGACCUGGGCUACACACGUGCUACAAUGGCCACGACAGAGAGAAGCGAAAUCGCAAGGUAGAGCGGAACUCAAAAAAGUGGUCCCAGUUCGGAUUGUGGGCUGCAACCCGCCCACAUGAAGUCGGAGUUGCUAGUAAUCGCGGAUCAGCAUGCCGCGGUGAAUACGUUCCCGGGCCUUGUACACACCGCCCGUCACACCAUGGGAGUUGGUAACGCCCGAAGUCAGUGACCCAACCGUAAGGAGGGAGCUGCCGAAGGUGGGACCGAUAACUGGGGUG